CCCCAAGUGGUGGAAUGGUAGACGCUGUGGACUCAAAAUCCAUUGGAGAAAUCCGUGCAAGUUCAAGUCUUGUCUUGGGGACCA
rnacentral:tRNA from 1 species